GAUGAACGCUGGCGGCGUGCUUAACACAUGCAAGUCGAACGGUGAAGGCGGAGCUUGCUCUGCUGGAUCAGUGGCGAACGGGUGAGUAACACGUGAGCAAUCUGCCCCUGACUCUGGGAUAAGCGCUGGAAACGGCGUCUAAUACUGGAUACGAGCUGCGAAGGCAUCUUCAGCAGCUGGAAAGAACUUCGGUCAGGGAUGAGCUCGCGGCCUAUCAGCUUGUUGGUGAGGUAACGGCUCACCAAGGCGUCGACGGGUAGCCGGCCUGAGAGGGUGACCGGCCACACUGGGACUGAGACACGGCCCAGACUCCUACGGGAGGCAGCAGUGGGGAAUAUUGCACAAUGGGCGAAAGCCUGAUGCAGCAACGCCGCGUGAGGGACGACGGCCUUCGGGUUGUAAACCUCUUUUAGCAGGGAAGAAGCGAAAGUGACGGUACCUGCAGAAAAAGCGCCGGCUAAUUACGUG
rnacentral:rRNA from 1 species